rnacentral:misc_RNA from 1 species
GUUCAGCAGUGCCAUCUCGGCGUUGCUGGGUUUGAGCAUCAUGUUCAAACCGUGUGCAGCAAUAAGUGUUCUCUGGUGUGCAGUGCGUCUCUGUCUACACCGGGGCGUGUAGCUUGCCGUCAACGCUCCGCGCAUGCAACUGUCGUAAAAACAAACAAAAUAACAAAAGGUGCUGCAGAUCCGGCAUGAAGACCAACUACGAAAAGCUAGCAACACAAGUUCAUUACCAGGGAUCGCCAACGAGGCAAAACGCCCAGCACAGCCUCCCGGAGGUGGGUGGAGGUGGCGCCUCCGACUCUGAAAACGACUCGGAGGUACUGCCUUUGGGCCAAGGGGCAGCUGAGGGAAUGCGCACUGAGGAGGCCUGCCAGCUACCCUUUGAAGAGGUGGCCGAUCGGCUCGGCACGGACCUCCGCCGGGGCCUGUCCUGGCAUGAGGCGCACCGUCGCCUCCUCACUGUUGGGGCCAAUGAGUUUGAGGUGCGCCAGGAAGAGCCACUAUGUAAGAAGUACCUAGACCAGUUCAAGAAUCCUCUCAUUGUCCUCCUUUUGGCAUCUGCUGUGGUCAGUGUCUGCAUGCAGCAAUUUGAUGAUGCGUUCAGCAUUACUGCUGCUAUCAUUAUUGUGGUGACAGUUGCUUUCGUUCAGGAAUAUCGUUCAGAAAAAUCACUUGAAGAGCUGAACAAAUUAGUACCUCCAGCCUGCCAUUGCCUAAGAGGGGGCCAAGCUGAAACAUUUCUUGCAAAGAAUCUCGUGCCUGGUGAUAUUGUUAUUCUUAAUGUAGGAGAUCGUGUGCCUGCUGACAUCAGACUAUUCAGUGCUGUCGACCUAAUGAUUGAUGAAAGCAGUUUCACAGGGGAAACUGAACCAGCGGCCAAGGUGACUUCACCACUGGAAAAAGCAGGCAAUGGUAUUGCCUCCAAGCGCAACCUGGCCUUUAUGGGGACACUUGUUCGUUAUGGCAAUGGCAGGGGCAUUGUGAUAAACACAGGCGAGAAAUCCGAGUUUGGGGACAUAUUCAAGAUGAUGCAAGCUGAAGAGGCACCAAAAACACCUCUGCAAAGGAGUAUGGACAGCUUAGGCAAACAGCUGUCAUUAUAUUCAUUUGGUAUUAUUGGUCUUAUCAUGCUUUUGGGCUGGAUCCAAGGCAGGCCCCUGCUUGAAAUGUUCAACAUUGGUGUUAGCCUUGCUGUGGCAGCUAUCCCUGAAGGUCUCCCUAUUGUGGUAACCGUCACCCUUGCCCUUGGAGUGAUGCGCAUGGCAAAGCGUAAAGCCAUCAUCAAGAAAUUGCCAACUGUGGAAACGUUAGGUUGUGUUAAUGUUGUGUGUUCUGACAAGACAGGAACUCUGACAAAAAAUGAAAUGACUGUUUGCUCCAUCAUGACAUCAGAGCUUUACCAUGCUGAGGUUACAGGGGUUGGCUACAAUGCAGAGGGUCAUGUGAUCCUCACGGAACCUGGGGAGAGAGAUGUGCAGAUGGAUUCAAUGAGGUUACUUCUUGAGUGUGGCUCCAUCUGCAAUAAUGCUGAUAUCUUGGGGAGUGAGCUCAGAGGGCAGCCAACAGAAGGGGCGUUGUUGGCUGCAGCCCACAAGAUGGGAAUUUAUGAUGUGCGAAACCAUUAUGUGCGGCUUCAAGAGAUCCCUUUCAGCUCUGAGCAUAAAAUGAUGGCAGUGAAGGUCAUCCCCAAGUUUGGAGGGGAACAGGAGCAAUACUUUGUGAAAGGUGCACUCGAAAAAAUUUUGGCCCAUUGUACCCACUACAGUCAUCAUGGUAUGCAAUUGCCAAUCACAACUGAACGGACCGCUCAAUAUAUUAAGGAGGCUCAGUUCAUGGGUCGCAAGGGUCUCAGAGUUCUCUCUCUGGCAAGUGGUACAAACCUGAACCAACUCAGGUUUUUGGGUCUAGUGGGCAUUCUGGACCCUCCCAGGCCAGGAGUUCGUGACUCCAUUGAGACACUCCAUAGCAGUGGAGUCAAUGUCAAAAUGCUUACUGGCGACUCUGAAGAAACUGCCUGUACUAUUGCGGCUCGUCUUGGCCUUCAUGCUGUGGGCAGUGUUGUGCUUUCUGGUGAUCAGCUGGAUGCAAUGACCGACAGUGAACUGCAGAGGAUCAUUGGGUCUGUGUCGGUGUUUUACAGGACAGGACCAGGACAUAAGCUUCGCAUUGUAAAGGCUCUGCAGCGGAACAAUUACAUAGUAGGCAUGACUGGCGAUGGUGUUAAUGAUGGAGUUGCUUUGAAGAAAGCUGACAUCGGUAUUGCCAUGGGUAAAAUUGGCACAGACGUUUGUAAAGAAGCAGCUGAUAUGAUUCUUGUGGACGACGACUUCUUCACAAUCAUGGCGGCAAUUGAAGAAGGAAAAGGAAUAUUUUACAACAUCAGGAAUUUUGUGACAUUCCAGUUGAGCACGAGCAUUGCUGCUCUUUCUCUAAUUGCGUUGUCCACAUUAAUGAAGAUUCCCAACCCUCUGAAUGCGAUGCAAAUUCUUUGGAUAAACAUCAUCAUGGAUGGACCACCAGCGCAAAGUCUUGGUGUUGAGCCUGUGGACCAUGAUGUGUUGAAGCAACCUCCUCGCAACACCAAGCAGCCUAUGAUCACAAGAGAUCUGAUAUUCAAUGUGGUCUUGUCCUCGCUCAUCAUCAUUCUUGGAACCUUGUUUAUCUUCCGGAAAGAGAUGAGUGACCAAAUCGUGACACCGAGGGACACUACUAUGACAUUUACUUGUUUUGUCUUCUUUGACAUGUUCAAUGCUUUGAGCUGCAGAUCACAGACAAAGUCUGCAUUCACCAUCGGGCUCUUCAGCAACCGUAUGUUUCUCCUUGCGGUGGCCUUUUCUGUAAUAGGGCAGAUGUUGGUGAUCUACUUCCCACCACUUCAGAGGGUCUUUCAAACUGAAGCUCUAACUGCAUUAGAUAUCUGCCUCCUUGUUGGAGUAUCGUCAACAGUUUUUAUUGUAUCAGAGCUGAAGAAGUUCUUUGAAAGAAGCCUAUCGAGAAGGGAUAACUGUCACGUUGACUAAGCAUCCACACUUGAAGUGACAUAACGUGCCUUUUUUGAUCUUCGCCACGCUGAGCAUAGCACCGGAUGUGUCCAGCAACGUACGCUUGCACUUUGCACUGCAUGUGAGGAUAUGUGCAUCUCGGCACCAGCAAGCUGUGGUGCAUAUGCACUUCAAUCUAUCAGAUAUAAAGCACUGCACAUGUGGAAGGCAACCAUAGGCCUGUACUGCAUUUAGUCAGUCCCUGAAAGGUGGGAUCGCAAAUACAGGGUGCACUACAUGGAGCACGUAGCUUUAUAUCCAGUGUAACUACUAUAAGUACC